GAUGAACGCUGGCGGCGUGCCUAAUACAUGCAAGUCGAGCGAACAGACGAGGAGCUUGCUCCUCUGACGUUAGCGGCGGACGGGUGAGUAACACGUGGAUAACCUACCUAUAAGACUGGGAUAACUUCGGGAAACCGGAGCUAAUACCGGAUAAUAUAUUGAACCGCAUGGUUCAAUAGUGAAAGACGGUUUUGCUGUCACUUAUAGAUGGAUCCGCGCCGCAUUAGCUAGUUGGUAAGGUAACGGCUUACCAAGGCAACGAUGCGUAGCCGACCUGAGAGGGUGAUAGGCCACACUGGAACUGAGACACGGUCCAGACUCCUACGGGAGGCAGCAGUAGGGAAUCUUACGCAAUGGGCGAAAGCCUGACGGAGCAACGCCGAGUGAGUGAUGAAGGUCUUCGGAUCGUAAAACUCUGUUAUUAGGGAAGAACAAAUGUGUAAGUAAAUAUGCACGUAUUGACGGUACCUAAUCAGAAAGCCACGGCUAACUACGUG
rnacentral:rRNA from 1 species